rnacentral:sRNA from 1 species
GACUUGCACAGCGCAGGGGGUUAAACCCCAC